rnacentral:rRNA from 1 species
UGGGGAAUAUUGGACAAUGGGCGAAAGCCUGAUCCAGCCAUGCCGCGUGUGUGAAGAAGGUCUUCGGAUUGUAAAGCACUUUAAGUUGGGAGGAAGGGCAGUCAGCGAAUACCUUGCUGUCUUGACGUUACCGACAGAAUAAGCACCGGCUAACUCUGUGCCAGCAGCCGCGGUAAUACAGAGGGUGCAAGCGUUAAUCGGAAUUACUGGGCGUAAAGCGCGCGUAGGUGGUUUGUUAAGUUGAAUGUGAAAUCCCCGGGCUCAACCUGGGAACUGCAUCCAAAACUGGCAAGCUAGAGUAGGGCAGAGGGUGGUGGAAUUUCCUGUGUAGCGGUGAAAUGCGUAGAUAUAGGAAGGAACACCAGUGGCGAAGGCGACCACCUGGGCUCAUACUGACACUGAGGUGCGAAAGCGUGGGGAGCAAACAGG